AGAAGGGGACUGGACUUGUCUCUGCUUCUCAUCAUUAAGGACUAUAUUAUAGACACUGUUAAGGGUUGGAGGUGGCUGCAUCAUCAAUAUGUUACUCCUUACCCCCAUCUAUGCUUCAUUAAGGCCCAUUAGAAACUGAAACACCUUAUUCUCAUCAUCUUCCUGUAUUAUACCUUUUUUGGCAGCACAAACACAUCUUUGCCCAUGAUUUGUACACAUUCUUUCUAUUUCAUCCCACAGACCUUUAAGUUUGUUAAAAUAUGAAGCUACAUCUAGAGACCCUUGAGAAGUGUGAGAAAGCUCUCUUUUUAGUUCAAAAUUUUUGGUGCUGUUGGCAGUUCCAUAUCUGGCCUGAAGCUGGGACCAUAUACUCUAGGCAGUAUCAGAAUACUGCACACUUUCAGCAAUUUGAGGGGACAGGGAGGCAGUUAACCAGGAAAUUACCAUAUUAUUGCAUCUAUCUCAUAGUCUUUGCUCAGUCACAUUAGUGACUGGUCGGGGACAUGUGCCAUCAACAAAACCAAUUUUGUUCUUAGCAGAUAACGCGACAAUCAUUUUCCUCCUCCACCCCCCAUAACCAUUGCCCGAGAAAGGAGUGGACACAAGAGAAACUCCAGGAACAUCAGAGGAGUAAACAAAAAGGGGGCUGGUAGAGUCCACUGAUGAGGUAUUGACAUUCAUAUUAGAAGUCAUGAACAAUAACCAGUUUGAAAUCAAAAAACAGUCUCAGUAAAGAGGUUAAAGUUGAAUCAGAACCCACAUGCAAAAUAUACAACACUUAUAACAGGGAUGGAGUUACCCUCCUUCUUCGCGACCGGAGAAGAACGGCCUUCAAUCGCCAGAUAAAACCCUAGGUCCAACCACCGGAAAUCGUAGGGUCUGGAAACUUAUCGGAAUAGGGUCAGGGACGUCGGAAAAUCACCCAAAACAUCCACCGAGUGAGGAUCGAGCCAUCGGAUAGCAGUAAAACCCUAGGUUCAACAACCAGAAACCCUAGAAUCUGGAAAGUCACCGGAAAGAGGUCAGGGAUGUGGGAAAAUCACCCAAAACAUCCACUGAGUGAAGAUCGAAGCAUUAAACAACAGUAAAUGUUCCAAUUUUCCGUUCAAUACACAUCGUUCUCUCGGUAAACAAAAUCUCUCACAAAUUUCCAAAGAAAAACUUUCAACAAAACUUCCAACGCGAUCGAUAACAAGUAACGGAGAAGAAUCCGAGGAUCAUCCCGCUCUGAUACCAUGAAAAC
rnacentral:lncRNA from 1 species